AGCUGCUGUGACGUCUUUAGAAUUCUCAUGCUUUGAUGGCUGUUAGACUUCUGGUUGCUGACGUGUGUAGAAGGUUCUCUGUUGGGUAGUACAGUAAUGGGGAGAAGGUUCUCGGAUUUCUUCACAUGCUUUCCGUUCUCACUCAACCUGCUUUCGCCAAUGGACUCUGCAGAUUUUGGAGAAGUGAAGGUUGAUCCCAAGCUGACUUCUGCAUUUCUUCUUUGAGGGAUGGAUCUUUGUCUGAAGGACUUCUCCUGGAGAACACUGUAGUAGAUGGAACCACAGGAGCAUCAAGGGAAGAAUUCUUUGAUGGUGAGGAAUCUGGUAGUGCAGCUGAUGACAGAUCUUGUCAGAAGAACUGAAUGAUUUCCUGCUUCGAUGAAAGUCAGACCAGAAAGAAUGUCCUUUCUCUUGGCCCCAAAAAGGACCUUGUCCAAAUCUCCUCUGUUCUCCGCUUCGUCCAAAGGUUGCUACAAUAAUUCCAGCUGUGUAUACCUCCUGGGAUCAUAAUAGAAAUGAACCUCUGAAGCAUCUUACUGAAGAAGGCCCCUACGUUGACUGUCCAGCUGACUGUCUCUACCCGACUGCUGUCCCACACA
rnacentral:lncRNA from 1 species